ensembl:lincRNA Gm38554 predicted gene, 38554
AGAGGAAAGGGAGAUUGCGUGAAGAUGGGAAGACACCGGGGCCAGGAAAAGCCAUCCUUCAUGAGCUUGACAGCCCUGGGAGCCGACACAGGGACUUACUGAACGGGACUAAAGGCUCAAGUUGGGUAUGCAGAGACCAGGAAGACUUUGGGAGACACCAUCCCACCUGAGGAUAACAGGCAUGCCUGGUGCCUAUGGAAGCCGGAAGAAGGCAUUGGAUCCCCUGGAACUGCCAUUACAGAUAAUCAUGAACUGUCAUUUGGGUGGUGAGAACAGAGCCCAGGACCUCUGGAAGAGCAAUCAGUGCUCUUAACCACUGAGCCAUCCCUCCAGCCAUCUCUAUUCUCUGCUUGUCUUUUAUGUCUUAGUUCUUCCAUAUUCAAGUCUCUGAACACCCCACUGCUGAUCACUUGUUACAUGUGCUGUGGGCUUGGCCAGUGUGCCUUGAGGCUGUGACAGCCCUGCUAAGAGGUGAAGUCAGAGGGGCAGGUUCCAGCCACCUACACCCCAAGUCCCGCAGUCUCCAGGGUUUGGUCAGCCUGGUGCGCACUGGCUGGCCCUCUCCUUGUGGUUGUGGCUGGUAGCCUGGGAGGGAAGAGAGUGGGGUAAGCCACUCACCCCCACGGCUGCCUUCUGAGGCCAGCCAGCUCGCCGGGCCAUUAACCAGGCAAGCCACGGCAGCAAUAAAAUUAAUUUCCUUUCCUAAUA